AGAGUUUGAUCCUGGCUCAGAACGAACGCUGGCGGCGUGGAUAAGACAUGCAAGUCGAGCGAGAUUUUUCGUUGUAGCAAUACGAUGAAAAGUCUAGCGGCGAACGGGUGCUUAACACGUGGGCAACCUGCCGUGAAGUGGGGGAUAGCUCGCCGAAAGGCGAAUUAAUACCGCAUGUGAUUAGAGAGGACAUCCUUUCGAAAUUAAAGUCGGGGCAACCUGACGCUUCUUGUGGGGCCCGCGGCCUAUCAGCUAGUUGGUGAGGUAAUGGCUCACCAAGGCUUUGACGGGUAGCUGGUCUGAGAGGACGACCAGCCACACUGGGACUGAGACACGGCCCAGACACCUACGGGUGGCAGCAGUCGAGAAUUUUUGACAAUGGGGGAAACCCUGAUCGAGCGACGCCGCGUGGAGGAUGAAGGUCUUCGGAUUGUAAACUCCUGUCAUUGGGGAACAAUGCGUGACGGUUAACUGCCGUUGCGUUGAUAGUACCCGAAGAGGAAGGGACGGCUAACUCUGUGCCAGCAGCCGCGGUAAUACAGAGGUCUCAAGCGUUGUUCGGAUUCAUUGGGCGUAAAGGGUGCGUAGGCGGCGCGGUAAGUCGGGUGUGAAAUCUCGGAGCUUAACUCCGAAACUGCAUUCGAUACUGCCGUGCUUGAGGACUGGAGAGGAGACUGGAAUUUACGGUGUAGCGGUGAAAUGCGUAGAUAUCGUAAGGAAGACCAGUGGCGAAGGCGGGUCUCUGGACAGUUCCUGACGCUGAGGCACGAAGGUCAGGGGAGCAAACGGGAUUAGAUACCCUAGUAGUCC
rnacentral:rRNA from 1 species